UACGUAGGGUGCGAGCGUUAAUCGGAAUUACUGGGCGUAAAGCGUGCGUAGGCGGUUCGCUGUGUCCGAUGUGAAAGCCCCGGGCUUAACCUGGGAAUGGCAUUGGAAACUGGCGGGCUUGAGUGUGGCAGAGGGGGGUGGAAUUCCGCGUGUAGCAGUGAAAUGCGCAGAGAUGCGGAGGAACACCGAUGGCGAAGGCAGCCCCCUGGGUUAACACUGACGCUCAGGCACGAAAGCGUGGGGAGCAAACAGG
rnacentral:rRNA from 1 species